CCUACGGGAGGCAGCAGUGGGGAAUAUUGGGCAAUGGGCGCAAGCCUGACCCAGCAACGCCGCGUGAAGGAAGAAGGCUUUCGGGUUGUAAACUUCUUUUAAGAGGGAAGAGCAGAAGACGGUACAUCUUGAAUAAGCCACGGCUAACUACGAGCCAGCAGCCGCGGUAAUACGGAGGUGGCAAGCGGUGUCCGGCUUUACUGGGUGUAAAGGGCGUGCAGCCGGGAAGACAAGUCAGAGGUGAAAUCCCGCGGCUCAACCGCGUAACUGCAUUUGAAACUGUUUUUCUUGAGUACCGGAGAGGUCAUCGGAAUUCCUUGUGUAGCGGUGAAAUGCGUAGAUAUCAGGAAGACCCCCAGUGGCGAAGGCGGAUUACUGGACGGCAACUGCCGGUGAGGCUC
rnacentral:rRNA from 1 species